UCCGUUGUAGCAAUACGAUGGAAAGUCUAGUGGCGAACGGGUGCUUAACACGUGGGCAACCUGCCAAGAAGUGGGGGAUAGCUCGCCGAAAGGCGAAUUAAUACCGCAUGUGAUUAGAGUGGACAUCCAUUCGAAAUUAAAGUCGGGGCAACCUGACGCUUCUUGUGGGGCCCGCGGCCUAUCAGCUAGUUGGUGAGGUAACGGCUCACCAAGGCUUUGACGGGUAGCUGGUCUGAGAGGACGACCAGCCACACUGGGACUGAGACACGGCCCAGACACCUACGGGUGGCAGCAGUCGAGAAUUUUUGACAAUGGGGGAAACCCUGAUCGAGCGACGCCGCGUGGAGGAUGAAGGUCUUCGGAUUGUAAACUCCUGUCAUUGGGGAACAAUGCGUGACGCUUAACUGCCGUUGCGUUGAUAGUACCCGAAGAGGAAGAGACGGCUAACUCUGUGCCAGCAGCCGCGGUAAUACAGAGGUCUCAAGCGUUGUUCGGAUUCAUUGGGCGUAAAGGGUGCGUAGGCGGCGCGGUAAGUCGGGUGUGAAAUCUCGGAGCUUAACUCCGAAACUGCAUUCGAUACUGCCGUGCUUGAGGACUGGAGAGGAGACUGGAAUUCUCGGUGUAGCA
rnacentral:rRNA from 1 species